rfam:Loxodonta africana unplaced genomic scaffold scaffold_9, whole genome shotgun sequence.
GCCAUGGUGGCAUAAUGGUUAAGCACUCAGCUGCUAACCAAAAGGUUGGUGGUUCAAAGCCACCCAGAGGCU